UACAGAGGGCUCAAGCGUUGUUCGGAUUCAUUGGGCGUAAAGGGCGCGUAGGUGGCGCCAUAAGUCAGGUGUGAAAUCUCGGGGCUCAACCCCGAAACUGCACUUGAUACUGUGGUGCUCGAGUACUGGAGAGGAGAUUGGAAUUUACGGUGUAGCAGUGAAAUGCGUAGAUAUCGUAAGGAAGACCAGUGGCGAAGGCGAAUCUCUGGACAGUUACUGACACUGAGGCACGAAGGCCAGGGGAGCAAACGGG
rnacentral:rRNA from 1 species